rnacentral:lncRNA from 1 species
GAAAGAGGCAAGAGAUAAGAGGCGACUGAGAGGAGCCACCAAACAAGUAAUGGCAGCCUUGAAAGUGGUCAUUGGAAGCCUUGCAGAUGGCAGACUACAGGUGGAGAAGCCUCCCAGCCCAUAGAAGCAGAACACCCAAAGAUUAAAUGGUGGAGGAUGCAAAACAAAUAGAAAGGGGCUGGAAUUUAUAGCCACAUCAAUGGUCUAGACCGAUCCUGUGGUUUGAUGCAUCCACCUA